UUGCCUUCCUUCAUAUGCUGCCCGCAACGAUAUGAGGUUCAACCGGAUCAUAGUCGCUAAGUCACUCCUUGUCAAUGUUGGAUUGUCCACGUAAAGUUCAUCUAACUUCACUUUUGUUCCGGUGUAAGAACACUCUCAUCAAAUGGUGGCUCUAUAUAUGGCACAUCCUCUUCUUCUUGUGGCCAAUCAUUGAAUUUCAUGGCCAACAACUCCCAAAUCACCAAAAAGAAAUAAAAAUUGUUAGUUAUAAAAAAGUGUAGAGAAAAUGCUCUAGACUAAAAACUAAUCCUAAAUCUUUAAGUAACGCAAUUGCUCUCUGGCAGCGGGGCCAACUUGAUUACUCGAGUAUUUAACCCGAUAUAUUAACCGGAGUAAAGUAUAUGCGGGAUCGAUCACAAGGAGCAAUGGUACACUAAAGACUUGCGAGACUCAUUCUUAGCUAAAGCAGAAAAGACUUGUUGUUUGGUUUUUCAGUUUGUAAAUAAAAAUGCAACAAUAAACUGUGAUGAAACUUAUGAAUUAAGGACAUUGGGAAGCAGGGUAUUUUCAGAGAAUCAAUGAAUAACAAAUAAAAGCGAUAAGGAAUUCAAACAUGAAGAGCCGUUCUUAAACAUGAACACAAGUUUAGACUAACUCUCUCUCAAAACAUUAAUCACUAAAUUUAACUAUUCAAUUACUAAACUCUCAUUUGUAAUUUCAUAGCCAAAUUCACAUUAUCAAACAUGUUCAUUUGGUUCACAAAGCAUUUUAACAUCAACUCUCGCAGGUUAGAAAUAUAAUGCUCAAUUUACAUUCCUUCAGGCAUUUUAUCGAACAUCUCUGAAACACAUAAAAGCCUAAGUUCUAAAACAGGGUGAUCAAUCCUAUUAUAGCAUUGAGAACAUGUAAAUUGAAGAACCUAAAGAUUAAGAAUUCCCUAAGACAUCUAAUCUAUCAAAUCAUUGAAUUCUCCUACUUGAAACCCUAAAACCCAAUUAAGAAACUACUCAAACAUAGCAAAAGAGAAAACAAAAAUCAUAGAUGAAGAAAACAUGAUGAAAUUUCAGAAACAAUAAGAAAGGGUUUAGAAAUCUUCUCCAAGUGUCAAGAGGAUGGAUUCUUCUCCCAAAAUUGUUUAAGAAGCAAAGAACAACGUUUAGAACUCAAAAAUAUGAAGGAUAGCUGCUAAAAAGUCGAGCCUAGGGUAUAAAAACAAUAGGAGACGAUUUGGGUCGGUUAUGAAGUGUUUCGUAUAAAAUAUGGGCCAAAAAAUGCGUCAGAGGUAAGGGACCGAUCGAUCCAAAUGUUAGACGGAUCGGUCUAAUGCUCCCAGGUUUUACUUCUGCAUUAGCUUCAAAAACUCGUCAGAAUGACCUGUCUUCUCAAAAUCAGGCGUAACUCGUGAAUGCACUGUUAGAUGUUCUUGAAAUCACUUGCAAAUAAAAGCUAACACCUGUCUUCAUUUUGUGUCAAAAUAUGAGCAAGAGCUAACGGUCGAAAGUUGUCCAUAUGAUCUCAAACAUCUGACACUUCUACAUGAAUCUGCAUCUCCAAAUGUGUGUUUGCAUCCCAAAACGGCUCAUUUUAUUUCAAAGCAACCUAAAACCUGUAAAGAUUCUAUACUGGACUAAAAGACUCUAAAAACACACUUUGACUCAAUAAAAAUUAUAAAAUUAAAGAGAAAAAAGACUUGUCGAUAAAAACACAAUAUAUCAACUCCCCCCGACUUAGAUUCUUGCUUGUCCUCUAGCAAAACAAAAAUCUUAACCAAGAGAAUAGAUUUGAAAACAUGAGAACUCACAUAUUCUUUUGGGAUCAUGCUCUUAAUCAAUUCCUUGCAAACCACUACCACACAUUUUAUAUUAAACCGUACAAUAAUGUACUUCACCAUGACAUCAUGAGAUCCCUAAAGCACAAAGAACUUUAUAAUCAAAUAAAUUUACCGUUUAACAUUCAUUAGCAGUUUUGGCACUCUCAAAAAGGGAAUAUCGAACACGUUAUGGUCUAGGUGUAAAAGCAGUUUUAGGUGGCUCAAGUGUUUAAGGUUCAGCAGUAAUACGAACGGAUGCAAACAUUAAGCAAAAUCACACUGAGACACAGACCAAUUGGGAGGUACAUAACUUCCCUCUAACUCGGAUCACCUUAACCACAUCAAAUCCCAAGCAAAAAUCAUAUCACCUUAACCAAAUCAAACUCCAGACAAAUCAUAAGUAUCAUAGAUGCUUUUCAAAUAAAACCAAAGACAUAUCGACUUUUCCGGUUCCAUUCUUUCUCCUUUCCCGUUAUUUUCUCUUUUUUUUUUCUUUUUCUUUUUUAUUUUUUUUAGACAGGGGAGUGGAAACGUCUCACAAACUGCAUCAACAAAACUCAAUUAUGAUUGCUCACAACACAUGCUCAUGAAUAUAUAAAUAUAAUGACAAGAACUCAAUGUCAAUCACUCCAAACAACUACAGUUACAAUCCUAAUUAAAGAAAAGCUAUGUCGGUCUGUAUACUCCGUAGUUUUUGCACAUAAUGACAAUGACAAUGACAUACGAAUGCAUGUGGUCUGAAACAUGGAUAGGGCUAAAGGUGUGCUACUAGACUAAAUAUGAGUCUAGCCAUUCAGAGUUUACAAAGUGUGGUAAAAUACGCGAACUAAACUUUGAAUGUAUGAUCCAUUACAUGAUUGCCAACCCCCUAAGUGAGAUAUAACGAGUCAAGAUUAAGAUCAAAUAAGCAAGGUUAAGCUCAAAUCAUCCAAAUUUUGAAGUGAGGGAUUAUACGAUUGAUCUAGUCAUGAAUUUUCCUGAAGUUCCAAGUUAUCCUUAAACAAUGCUAAAUGGUCCCAAGGCAAUGAAAUCAAGCAAGGUGCAAUUCCCUAAAAAAUGCUCACAGUUCUCAUACAACAUUUUAACUCAAUAAAACAGACACGAUUUGACUCGAUAAAACAAACUGACAGACUCAAGAAAACAUCAAAAUGAAACAUAAGAAAAAGCAAAUUGCAUCAGGAGACUAGUGACAUCCUCCCCCAGACUUGCUUCACACCGUCUCGGUGUGAGAACAAUUCCAAAAGAAAACGUCACAACCAAAUAAAAAAAAAGGAAGAUGCAAAAAAGAAAAAUAAAAAUAAGAAAACUAACCUGGGACAUCUGGUGGGUUGCCUCCCACCAAGCGCUUAUUUUUGGUCUUUAUCUUGACCGCUCAACAAAAAAUAUUAAUCAUAAGAAUCAAAAGGUUGAGCCAAUGCACCUUUAGUCCUUCUCCGGUUACGGCACACAACAAUAUGCACAAAGUAACACACAAUUAUCCAUGACAAGGAGGCAAAACAACCAUCAACUAAAUUUACUACAAAUAUAGCAUAUAUCUUGAAAUCAUCUUUGAUGGUUUGAUGCUCAUGAGGAUCGAAUGCAUUUGGUGGAAAUAUAAAAUCAAUUUCAGGUCUUUAUGAAGUUUUAACAAAAUAUUCAACUUCAUCCCCAUUAAUCUCAUAUAGCACAAUUUUUCCAGCCAUAUAAUCAACCUAAAAAUUCUCAAUCUCAUCCAAGAUGUUAUCAAUAUCAAGCAAAACUCCUAAAUAAGAUUCUGCAAGAAGAGAUCUAGACAUUUCAGGCAUUGAAAACUUAAACUCGAGAUCACAAAAAUUCAAAGCACAAUGAUAUUCAAUAUCAAAACAUAUCUCAUGGUAAUCUCUAGCAAGUUUUUCUGCUCUAGAAGUAUCUAGCUGUUGAGACUCACCUGUCAGAUCAUAACAUUCACUGAUAAUCUUGGGAGUAUGCAAACUAGAAUCAACAUCUUCAAUGCAAGGCAUAGAAAAAUCCUCAAAAUCAUGAAUUUCAAAGGUUAAGACGCAUGUACCUUCUAUGUCGCUCGGUGGAACCCAAUAUAUUACAUUUUCAAGAUCAUGGGCUUCUUUGAUCUCAUAGCCUGUGAGUUGCCUUCCUUCAUAUGCUGCCCGCAACGAUAUAAGGUUCAACCGGAUCAUAGUUGCUAAGUCACUCCUUGUCAAUGUUGGAUUGUCCACGUAAAGUUCAUCCAACUUCACUUUUUGUUCCGGUGUAAGAACACUCUCAUCAAAUGGUGGCUCUAUAUAUGGCUCAUCCUCUUCUUCUUGUGGCCAGUCAUUGAAAUCCAUGGCCAACAACUCCUAAAUCACCAAAAAGAAAUAAAAAAUAUUAGUUAAAAAAACUGUAGAGAAAAUGCUCUAGACUAAAAACUAAUCCUAAAUCUUUAAGUAACGCAAUUGCUCCCCGGCAGCGGCGCCAACUUGAUUACUCGAGUAUUUAACCCGAUAACUUAACCGAAGUAAAGUAUAUGCGGGAUCGAUCACAAGGAGCAAUGGUACACUAAAGACUUGCGAGUCUCGUUCUUAGCUAAAGCGGAAAAGACUUGUUGUUUGGUUUUUCAGUUUGUAAAUAAAAAUGCAAAAAUAAACUGUGAUUAAAC
rnacentral:lncRNA from 1 species